GGCCGGCCUUUGGCUAGUAAAUCCAGUGGCGUGCGUCUUGACAGUAGGUAGCAUCCGAUACCCCGUGAGACCUUGCUGGGCUUAGGGUUCUGUGUUUCCUGUGGCCAAGGCUGCCAGGGUCGGGUUGUUGAACGCUAGCAUUCUG
rnacentral:sRNA from 1 species